rnacentral:tRNA from 1 species
GGGCUAUUAGCUCAGUUGGUUAGAGCGCACCCCUGAUAAGGGUGAGGUCCCAGGUUCAAGUCCUGGAUAGCCCAC